rnacentral:tRNA from 1 species
AAGAAAGUGGCAGAUUGGUAAUGCGCCUGGCUUGAAAUCAGGUAAGGGGGGUUCAAUUCCUUCUUUUCUCG